AAAUACGAUGUAAAUAACCUGUAGUAUAGUUAGUGUAUA
rnacentral:misc_RNA from 1 species